rnacentral:rRNA from 1 species
UACGAAGGGGGCGAGCGUUGUUCGGAUUUACUGGGCGUAAAGGGCGCGUAGGCGGCGCGAGAAGUCGAGUGUGAAAGCCCCGGGCUCAACCUGGGAAUUGCGCUCGAGACUCUAGUGCUUGAGUUCGGGAGAGGAGCGUGGAAUUCCCAGUGUAGAGGUGAAAUUCGUAGAUAUCUGGAGGAACACCGGUGGCGAAGGCGGCAUCCUGGACCAACACUGACGCUGAGUGAGCGAAAGCCAGGGGAGCAAACGGG